rnacentral:rRNA from 1 species
CUUGGUCAUUUAGAGGAAGUAAAAGUCGUAACAAGGUUUCCGUAGGUAAACCUGCGGAAGGAUCAUUAGAGAUGUGCGCAAGCACUUUCAUUCACACACCUGUGCACCGUGGUCUCCGGACCUACAAACAUGAAGUCAUGAACGUCUUUUUUAUUAUAACAAUAAAACUUUCAACAACGGAUCUCUUGGCUCUCGCAUCGAUGAAGAACGCAGCGAAAUGCGAUAAGUAAUGUGAAUUGCAGAAUUCAGUGAAUCAUCGAAUCUUUGAACGCAUCUUGCGCCCUUUGGUAUUCCGAAGGGCAUGCCUGUUUGAGUGUCAUGAAACAUCAUCCCGUUGGGUUUCCAACGGCAUGGAUUUGGGUGUUGCUGUCCGGCUCGCCUCAAAAGCCUUAGUGGUCCGAUCCGAAUCUGGCGUAAUAAGUUUCGCCGGCCUAGAUGAAGACUGCUUGACCCGUCUCUGACAUUUUUGCUCUGACCUCAAAUCAGGUAGGACUACCCGCUGAACUUAAGCAUAUCAAUAAGCGGAGGA